UACGGAGGGUGCAAGCGUUAUCCGGAUUCACUGGGUUUAAAGGGUGCGUAGGUGGGAAUGUAAGUCAGUGGUGAAAUCUCCGUGCUUAACAUGGAAACUGCCAUUGAUACUAUGUUUCUUGAAUUUUCUGGAGGUCAGCGGAAUAUGUCAUGUAGCGGUGAAAUGCUUAGAUAUGACAUAGAACACCAAUUGCGAAGGCAGCUGACUACAGGGACAUUGACACUGAGGCACGAAAGCGUGGGGAUCAAACAGG
rnacentral:rRNA from 1 species